UACGUAGGGUGCGAGCGUUGUCCGGAAUUAUUGGGCGUAAAGAGCUCGUAGGCGGUUUGUCGCGUCUGCCGUGAAAGUCCGGGGCUCAACUCCGGAUCUGCGGUGGGUACGGGCAGACUAGAGUGAUGUAGGGGGAGACUGGAAUUCCUGGUGUAGCGGUGAAAUGCGCAGAUAUCAGGAGGAACACCGAUGGCGAAGGCAGGUCUCUGGGCAUUAACUGACGCUGAGGAGCGAAAGCAUGGGGAGCGAACAGGA
rnacentral:rRNA from 1 species